rnacentral:rRNA from 1 species
CACGUAGGGCGCGAGCGUUGUCCGGAAUUAUUGGGCGUAAAGAGCUCGUAGGCGGCCUGUUGCGUCCGCUGUGAAAGCCCGGGGCUUAACCCCGGGUCGGCAGUCGAUACGGGCAGGCUAGAGUUCGGCAGGGGAGACUGGAAUUCCUGGUGUAGCGGUGAAAUGCGCAGAUAUCAGGAGGAACACCGGUGGCGAAGGCGGGUCUCUGGGCCGAUACUGACGCUGAGGAGCGAAAGCGUGGGGAGCGAACAGG